UACGGAGGGGGCUAGCGUUGUUCGGAAUUACUGGGCGUAAAGCGCACGUAGGCGGCUUUGUAAGUUAGAGGUGAAAGCCCAGGGCUUAACCCUGGAAUUGCCUUUAAGACUGCAUCGCUAGAAUCGUGGAGAGGUGAGUGGAAUUCCGAGUGUAAAGGUGAAAUUCGUAGAUAUUCGGAAGAACACCAGUGGCGAAGGCGACUCACUGGACACGUAUUGACGCUGAGGUGCGAAAGCGUGGGGAGCAAACAGG
rnacentral:rRNA from 1 species